GAGACUUGUAGGACAUCGGCGAAGAAAAAAAAGGUUUAUUAAAAAUUUAAAAUGGCUGCCGGUUUGUUUAGCUAGGUGGGAAUGGGCGUGGCCUGUGACGUGCCUUUACUUUUACGCGCUAAAUAACAAACGAACAAACAAACAAACAAACCAACGUGACGGACUGAUAAACAAUAACCGUAACGUUAGUGGGGGGAAGUAAUUACUCAGUGCAGCCCAAAACAAAACGAAGAGCUUGAAGAAGUGCCCUGCUUGUUCGUAGCAGAAGGAAAAGUGAGCCAAACAGGUUUCCCAUCUACCUUGCUUUUGGGACCAAACGUCUGUCUCCGUCGCCUGAAUAACUGCUGAGGGAGGUUUUAUUCCCGUCUGUGAACCCUUCAGGCUGUCACAGGAGAAUGUGGAGAAUUCGUGAUGAGGAGGAAAACGUGAGAGUGUUCCAGUCGAACCUGAAUAACAAGCAAAGAGCAAAACACCAGCAGAGCCAGAGAGUAA